CGGACGGGUGAGUAACACGUGGAUAACCUACCUAUAAGACUGGGAUAACUUCGGGAAACCGGAGCUAAUACCGGAUAAUAUAUUGAACCGCAUGGUUCAAUAGUGAAAGACGGUUUUGCUGUCACUUAUAGAUGGAUCCGCGCUGCAUUAGCUAGUUGGUAAGGUAACGGCUUACCAAGGCAACGAUGCGUAACCGACCUGAGAGGGUGAUCGGCCACACUGGAACUGAGACACGGUCCAGACUCCUACGGGAGGCAGCAGCU
rnacentral:rRNA from 1 species